rnacentral:lncRNA from 1 species
UCCACCAUGAGAGGGAUCCAAGAUAACCAUGGAUUUCAUGGUUUCAAGGUCUCUAGAGGGUUUCCUCACUUGUAGAGAGAUCAAAACCCAAAAAUCUAAGGUCUAAACCCAAACCCUAGGCUCAACUUGUGUAAAACCUCACCUUAGCCCAAGCCCCAACAAGAUCCUCCUUGUAGGUGAGCUCCUAGAACCACCAAAGCCUUCUAAACUCACU